UUUUGAGCCUUUUGACUUUUUCUAUUAUGUGUAGCAGUUUCUGGUCAAGUUUUCUCAGCUUCAGCUACGCCAUGGAGACUUCAUCAUGGAGAAUCGAAUAGCUAUUACGAGCUUCAGCUAUGCCAUUGACAAAUUUAAUGCUGAAUUGGUGUAAGAAUAGCUGAAUUCCACGUGCAGCAUGAAUGCUCCUCUGAUGGUUGAGUUGGAGGGGGAAACUGACCUACUUGAGAUUGCAAUCAAAGAGCUCCAGGAGAGGAAGAUACCCUUCACAAUUCGUCGCUACUUGCCUGAUGGAAGGCAAGACUAACUUUUCCUUUGCCCGUCUUUUUGAGGCCUUAUUGUAAGGAAUGGACACACCGUAUGUGGACACUGCGGAAAAAUUUGAGGUGAAAAAAGAGGAGACAAAAAAUAAUAAAGUAAUUGAAAUGGAAAUGCUGUUAGGUAAGUGUUUGAUGCAGUAUCGGCAAUGAAGAAGGCGUAUGUUAGUUUACAAGAAGCACAUUGCCCUUAGGAUCAGGAUAAAAUGCGCGUGGCUAACGUGCCUAUGGUAUCUGAACUGCGAAAGCUUGGAGUGUUGAGGGAAAGAUUUCAUCGGAAAUUGAAGCAAGAAAUGAAGUCGAAGGAUAUUGAGAUUGAUGAUUUGAAAGAGAAGUUGAAAAUGGCAACGUUGGUUAGUAGCAGCAAUAGUAGUAGGAAGAAAAGUAACAUUGCCGCAAAAUACGCAUUGGAAUCUUAUGUGAACUGAAAAAUGUUCCAAGGAUUCAAUCACAAGACAUUCUACAUGGACGGAAGCUUAUCGUCACUGCUCCAGCUAGACCAACACCGCCGCGAAUGUUUUACACAGUACAGGGACAUGAAAGCAAUGGAUCCAAUGGAACUUCUGGGAAUUCUCCCAACUUGUAGUUUUAGGAACUUCUCUUUCACCAUCCAAGGAGUCAGUUUCACGGGGAGUUUCUUGCGCUAGCAAAGUCUGUUUGGCUGCUGCAUUUGCUGGCCUUUUCUUUGGAUCCUCUACCAAUUCAUUUCGAGGCGAGCAAUGGAUCGGAGUUUCACCCAAAAUUGGGUUUUAAGUUUUUUGGAUGGAGAGAAUCUAACUCCUAGAAAAAGAAUUCGUAAACCAUAUUUACAUCAUGAAUACUUGAAAGAGUAACAUAUUCUUGUGAUAGCCAGUCCAUAUUUGUUAGUUUUGAAGAUCCAAGUGUAGGUGUUCUCAGUGCUUCUACACUGCAAUGGAGAUGUCGGAUCAAUCCUACUUCCUACUUUCCCGCCAAUCCAAGUUCAAGGGUGCAUCCACUUGUUAUCGCUGCACAUCCAUCUAAUCCGAAUCAGUUUACAUUGGGACUAAACGAUGGUGCUGUAAUUGUACUUGAGCAACUUGAGAUUGAAGGCAAAUGGGGAACCUUACCUCCAACAGAAAAUGGUGCUGGGCCAAGCACUUCAGGUGCUGCAAAUUCAGAUCAACACUAGAGGUAGUGUUACCUCGCUGAAACAUGCUGGCAGUUUUUGUUGAAAAGACAAGUAUAUACGGAUAUAGAAUGUCACUGUGGGCAGAGCACAAGGCAACUAUAGAGCAAUGUUUUGAGCGUCUAGAGAGUCUUGAAUGCGUGAGACGGAUGAGAGUAUUUGGUGAACACAACUGGCCACACUACACGGCUAAUGAAGUCACUGAAAUGAGAGGCCACCUUCUUAAGUAUCUGUUGAAGUUGAUCGAACGGGGAGAGUUAAGUUGCUUCAUGUUGAGUUUUUUCCCCUCAUUCUAAGCUUGUGUGGGGAUAUUGUUCUAUCCUUCCCCUUUUAACAGCUGAGUUUCUGGAGCUCACUAAUAACUUAGUUCUUAAGUCUUAACUAUGUAAAUAUCACUGUUAGGUGUUUAGAAUGUUCGCCUUCUGUUAUAAUUCAUAACAAACUCUGAAUAGCAUAUAGAAAGUUAACUGGAUGAAACUACAGUUAUCUGGGCAUGCAUUUGUUGUCUGACUGCAACAGAACAUAUCAAUAGCAUGUACAUAGUCUUCUUAGUCUUCUUUUUUUCUUUUCUGAUUGCAGCAACAAAAUUGUCCUUAUUAAUUCUGAAACAGGCCCUUCUAGAUGUGUACGCCAUUGAAUGAGAAAUAGGAAAAUUUGAUGGUAUAAAACUUGCUCUUGUUGUUGGGCUAGCUUAUGGGAGGGCAGUUCAUUCACUUGCUCGCUUGCAAAGUACCAAGAUGUGAAAAUUUACUUAGCAUCCCCUGAUGUGGUUAAAAUGAAGGAUCAUUUCACAUCAAUGGGGGUUCACUGCGAAGAAAGUGAUGAUCUGUUGGAGGUGGCUUCUAAAUGUGAUGUGGUAUAUCAAACUCAUAUUCAAAGAGAAACAUUUGGAGAGAGGGUUGAUUUGUAUGAAGAAUCUCGAGGGAAGUAUAUCGUGGAUCUGAGUGUCUUAAAUGCUAUGCAGAAACAUACAGUAGUGAUGCGUCCUUUGCCAAGACUUGAUGAGUUAACUGUCGAUGUGGAUGGGGAUCUAAGGGUUGCUUAUUUCUGACAAGCUAAGAAUGGUCUUUACAUUUGGAUGGCUCUUUAGAAGCUUCUACUACUUGUUGGUGACAAAUGCAAACUUUCUAUAUCUGGAAUAUUGCGAAAACAUGCUUCAAGCUAAGUUUUUAUAUAAAUUUUUCCUCCACAAAUAUGUGUUAUCACUCCUUAAGUUAUCAGUCAAACUAAUAAGCAUCAUGAUGUUGUCAGUGGCACUUCAAAGCAAUAUGUUGCUGAUGAUUAUGCCAAAUGACUGUUGAUAGGUUACUAGCAGGCUGAGGAUAUAGUGUCAAGUUCACUCGCUUGUAUGGUGGAACCAGCUUCAGCAUCUGGAUGCAAACUGGCUGGAACUUUUAUAUAUCUAGCACGAGUGUGGUAUCGAUUACAGUUUUCCACUCAACCAAAUGGUCAGAGGCUGGCAAGAAUCGAAAGGAAAAGACUUGAGUUGCGUUGACCUUGAAGAAUCUAAAGGCAGUAUCCAUUCAAGGCCUACUGGAUUUGCUGAGUCCUUCACAUCAGUUGAUUGUAUGUAAAACAAGGUUCUGCACUAUGUGUAGUUGAUCUGAUUAUCCUAUUCAAUAAAUGUGGAUAGCAUUUUUAUU